GAUACCCUUAGUAGCGGCGAGCGAAGUGGGUAAAGCUCAAGUUUAAAACCUGUUUGUCCUAGACAAACCGGAUUGUAAACUAAGGACGUGCUAUCCAGGCUCUUUGGACCUUCAAGUCCUUUGGAAUAAGGCUUCACAGAGGGUGACAAUCCCGUAGAGGGUCUUGAAAGAGUCUAUUGCGAUGCAUGCUCCAAGAGUCAGGUUGUUUGGGAAUGCAGCCUAAAGUGGGAGGUAAAUCCCUCCUAAAGCUAAAUAUUGGCGAGAGACCGAUAGCAAACAAGUACCGUGAGGGAAAGUUGAAAAGGACUUUGAAAAGAGAGUCAAAAGUACGUGAAAUUGCUUAAAGGGAAGCGUUUGGAGCUAG
rnacentral:rRNA from 1 species